rnacentral:tRNA from 1 species
AAAGAUUUAAGCUAACAAGACUAAAAGCCUUCAAAGCCUUAAGUAGAAGUUAAAAUCUUCUAAUCUUUGAC